CAGUGCCACGGUAAUACAGAGGGUGCGAGCGUUAAUCGGAUUUACUGGGCGUAAAGCGUGCGUAGGCGGCUUUUUAAGUCGGAUGUGAAAUCCCUGAGCUUAACUUAGGAAUUGCAUUCGAUACUGGGAAGCUAGAGUAUGGGAGAGGAUGGUAGAAUUCCAGGUGUAGCGGUGAAAUGCGUAGAGAUCUGGAGGAAUACCGAUGGCGAAGGCAGCCAUCUGGCAUAAUACUGACGCUGAGGUACGAAAGCAUGGGGAGCAAACAGGAUUAGAUACCCCAGUAGUCCCUGUCUCUUAUACC
rnacentral:rRNA from 1 species